rnacentral:lncRNA from 1 species
GCCACGGCUUCUUGCCUCAUUGGUUUCACCUUUAGGAUGGCAUAGUCCUUAGGGAUUUUUCUCCGUUUCCUCUUUGUUAAUAAACUUCUUAACAUAUUAUUCUUCGAAUAAUUCUACUAUAAAGUAACUAAUAUGAAUUUAUUUUAUCAUAUCAUGAUUGUUGGGAAUUAUGAAUUUAGCUAUUCAUAAUCAUAAAUAAAUAUACCUGUUCGGGUAGUUUUAAUAUUUCUGAAGUUUGUUCCUCCAUAGCUUUUUCCAUUGAAAUAUGUUUAUUUGAUUAACUGAGUAAAAUAUUUGUUGUGGAAUAGAGAGAAUAUUUGCUUCAAAGCAUGAAGGCUUGCCUUGCAAUGCCUUCAGCUUCCUUUAUUUAUAGAAUGAAAUCCUCUUUACAAUCUUUACAUGUUUUUUUAUUGCUAAAAGAACUAUAAAAAGUCAAAAAAGGAGGCUAGGCUACUAACUAGCCUUUAAUUUCCUACAAACCUACAAAUCUACAAUUA